rnacentral:rRNA from 1 species
GAGUUUGAUCUUGGCUCAGAUUGAACGCUGGCGGAAUGCUUUACACAUGCAAGUCGAGCGGCAGCGCGGGGCAACCUGGCGGCGAGCGGCGAACGGGUGAGUAAUGCAUCGGAACAUGUCCAUGUCGUGGGGGAUAGCCCGGCGAAAGCCGGAUUAAUACCGCAUACGCCCGAGAGGGGAAAGUGGGGGACCGCAAGGCCUCACGCGAUUGGGUUGGCCGAUGUCCGAUUAGCUAGUUGGCGAGGUAAUGGCUCACCAAGGCUCCGAUCGGUAUCCGGCCUGAGAGGGCGGACGGACACACUGGAACUGAGACACGGUCCAGACUCCUACGGGAGGCAGCAGUGGGGAAUUGUUCACAAUGGGCGCAAGCCUGAUGACGCAACGCCGCGUGGAGGAUGAAGACC